UAUGGCGACCGGCGCACGGGUGAGUAACACGUAUCCAACCUGCCGAUGACUCGGGGAUAGCCUUUCGAAAGAAAGAUUAAUACCCGAUGGCAUAGUUCUUCCGCAUGGUAGAACUAUUAAAGAAUUUCGGUCAUCGAUGGGGAUGCGUUCCAUUAGUUGUUGGCGGGGUAACGGCCCACCAAGACUACGAUGGAUAGGGGUUCUGAGAGGAAGGUCCCCCACAUUGGAACUGAGACACGGUCCAA
rnacentral:rRNA from 1 species